rnacentral:rRNA from 1 species
ACGAACGCUGGCGGCAUGCCUAACACAUGCACGUCGAACGAGACCUUCGGGUCUAGUGGCGCACGGGUGCGUAACGCGUGGGAACCUGCCCUUAGGUUCGGAAUAACUCCCCGAAAGGGGUGCUAAUACCGGAUAAUGUCUUCGGACCAAAGAUUUAUCGCCUUUGGAUGGGCCCGCGUUGGAUCAGCUAGUUGGUAGGGUAAAAGCCUACCAAGGCGACGAUCCAUAGCUGGUCUGAGAGGAUGAUCAGCCACACUGGGACUGAGACACGGCCCAGACUCCUACGGGAGGCAGCAGUGGGGAAUAUUGGACAAUGGGCGAAAGCCUGAUCCAGCAAUGCCGCGUGAGUGAUGAAGGCCUUAGGGUUGUAAAGCUCUUUUACCCGGGAUGAUAAUGACAGUACCGGGAGAAUAAGCUCCGGCUAACUCCGUG